CGGGACGGGUGAGUAAUGCCUGGGAAACUGCCUGAUGGAGGGGGAUAACUACUGGAAACGGUAGCUAAUACCGCAUAACGUCGCAAGACCAAAGAGGGGGACCUUCGGGCCUCUUGCCAUCGGAUGUGCCCAGAUGGGAUUAGCUAGUAGGUGGGGUAACGGCUCACCUAGGCGACGAUCCCUAGCUGGUCUGAGAGGAUGACCAGCCACACUGGAACUGAGACACGGUCCAG
rnacentral:rRNA from 1 species